rnacentral:rRNA from 1 species
AUACGUAGGGUGCAAGCGUUAAUCGGAAUUACUGGGCGUAAAGCGUGCGCAGGCGGUUUUGUAAGACAGAGGGGAAAUCCCCGGGCCCAACCUGGGAACUGCCUUUGUGACUGCCAGGCUAGAGUACGGCAGAGGGGGAUGGAAUUCCGCGUGUAGCAGUGCAAUGCGUAGAUAUGCGGAGGAACACCGAUGGCGAAGGCAAUCCCCUGGGCCUGUACUGACGCUCAUGCACGAAAGCGUGGGGAGCAAACAGGAUUAGAUACCCUGGUAGUCCACGCCCUAAACGAUGUCAACUGGUUGUUGGGUCUUCAUUGACUCAGUAACGAAGCUAACGCGUGAAGUUGACCGCCUGGGGAGUACGGCCGCAAGGUUGAAACUCAAAUGAAUUGACGGGG